GAGGGCAUAGCUCAGUGGUAGAGUGCGCACUUAGCAUUCAUGAGGUCCUGGGUUCAGUCCCCAGUACCUCCA
rnacentral:tRNA from 1 species